CACUUUUAUCCCGAACCUCAGCAGAGGUAGCAACCUGCAAAACAAGCAAGGUGCUAAAACGAUAAGCCAAUUUUUGGAAAAAAUGUUGAACUA
rnacentral:ncRNA from 1 species